UUGAACGCUGGCGGCAGGCCUAACACCUGCAAGUCGAACGGUAACAGGAAGCAGCUUGCUGCUUCGCUGACGAGUGGCGGACGGGUGAGUAAUGUCUGGGAAGCUGCCUGAUGGAGGGGGAUAACUACUGGAAACGGUAGCUAAUACCGCAUAAUGUCGCAAGACCAAAGAGGGGGACCUUCGGGCCUCUUGCCAUCGGAUGUGCCCAGAUGGGAUUAGCUUGUUGGUGGGGUAACGGCUCACCAAGGCGACGAUCCCUAGCUGGUCUGAGAGGAUGACCAGCCACACUGGGACUGAGACACGGUCCAGACUCCUACGGGAGGCAGCAGUGGGGAAUAUUGCACAAUGGGCGCAAGCCUGAUGCAGCCAUGCCGCGUGUAUGAAGAAGGCCUUCGGGUUGUAAAGUACUUUCAGCGGGGAGGAAGGGAGUAAAGUUAAUACCUUGGCUCAUUGACGUUACCCGCAGAAGAAGCACCGGCUAACUCCGUG
rnacentral:rRNA from 1 species